AUUGAACGCUGGCGGAAUGCUUUACACAUGCAAGUCGAACGGUAGAGGGGGCAACCCCUCGAGAGUGGCGAACGGGUGAGUAAUAUAUCGGAACGUGCCCAGUCGUGGGGGAUAACGUAGCGAAAGUUACGCUAAUACCGCAUACGAUCUAAGGAUGAAAGCGGGGGAUCGCAAGACCUCGCGCGAUUGGAGCGGCCGAUAUCAGAUUAGGUAGUUGGUGGGGUAAAGGAUCACUAAGCCAACGAUCUGUAGCUGGUCUGAGAGGACGACCAGCAACACUGGAACUGAGACACGGUCCAGACUCCUACGGGAGGCAGCAGUGGGGAAUUUUGGACAAUGGACGCAAGUCUGAUCCAGCCAUUCCGCGUGCAGGAUGAAGGCCCUAGGGUUGUAAACUGCUUUUGUACGGAACGAAAAGGUCUCUCUUAAUACGGGGGACUCAUGACGGUACCGUAAGAAUAAGCACCGGCUAACUACGUGCCAGCCGCCGCCGUAAGAC
rnacentral:rRNA from 1 species